UCAAAUCAAAUUAAAAGCAAAACAUUCCUUUUUUUCUGCAGUCGCCAUUCGUCAUUGUUCGUGUCAAGUUCGUGCUCGUAAUCGAGCUAAUCGCGAACGAAUGUAGAUUGUAGACCUAGAAUUUUUUUAUGUGUGCUCUCGUUCCACUUUUCAGUUUUCGUUAAUUCUACUAUUAAAUUUCUUAGUUCUGUGUUCUCUUGUGCUGUGCUUUCUAAAAUAGUGAAACAAAGGCUGUGCGUGCAAAGUGGUUUGUGAAUAUGUCACAGCUAACAAAUCCUUGAAAAAAAUAUGAGUGUUAGUGUCGAAGACGUGUCUAGUCCUUUAUCGGCAGGUCCGAGCAGCAUCAUCGAGGCGAAUAGUCCGUCAGAUGAUAGCAAAAAUGAGUUCGUCGACACAGUUGAGGAAGGUCAGGAAAAGUCUGAGAAAUCGGAAAAUUCCGAGCCUUCAACACCGAAACCUCAUCCGAUGGCUUUCACAAUCGACUUCGGGAACUCUAAACAAGUUGACAAUCGACGACUUGAAGAGUUAGCGAAGAAGUCUCAGGCGAGACAUCAAAGAGUACAGUCCAUGUCUGCAGGUGUGUCUAGGCCUAGUCCGAUUCAGUCUCAGAGACCACCCCUAAGCGCCAAGCUGCCUCGCAAAGCCCAGGGCUACAACUCGGAAGGCUAUUUUUCCUCUGACCAAGAGGACAGUGGCGUUUCCGGCUCUGUUAAACUUCGUAACAGCCCGCUAGCCCAGAGUGUCGAUAGACCAAAUUACACCAGCCCCAUUGUAAGUAGACCAAUCAAAUCCCCAGUGAACGACACUUUGCUGCCGAAACGUACGUCAAAAAGUCCGAUGGUCGACAGUAUUAUGUCAAGGAGUGAUUACAUCCCUCGACAAUCCCUCAACCUGCCACUAAAAAGUUCCAACAGUUCCUAUAUUCAAAACGUCCAUAGAACACCGAGUUACGGGAACCUAAACUGCCACAAACACGUCAUGGCAGACAUAAUAGACAGGAGUCCAGAAGGGGUGAUGUUAACAGACAUUUCUAGUCCAGAAUUAGACAUUCUCACCCCAGAUAACGGUCUGUCCACGCCAGAGCAUUCCAAAAGCCCUUUACGCAAGUCUAGAGCCCAGUCAGAAACCCCAGAUUUGUUGUUCAAAAAGUGUCCUUUGAAAUCUGAACCUUUAUACAUUGAUGACGAGGACAAUGAGUCAAAUCAUUCUUCAACUGGCACCUACACCAUUGAAGGCGACAAUUACACAGAGGAGCAGAAAGCUAGAAUGAGUAUAGACAGAACAUUGGGUUUAGAUCUGUACAGUGAACCUGUAGACAUGAUAAAUAGCCACUGCAGUAUAGAUAAAGACCCAGAACUAGUGUUUGAGUACCCAAAUCUGCAAAGAGUGAUCACAAAAGAACCAAGGAGAGAUGUAUGUUUAAGAAAUCCCUUAUCGACAAAUAAGACUGGUGAUUUGCAAAAAGUUUCAAAAGACAAGAAUGUCUUGGAAAUAUCCUGUUGCUACGAAUCCCCUAAUGAAACUGACUUGGCUGUGCAAACAACAAAACAGAUUAAAUCUACUAGAAGUUACUUGGAGAAAAUCAAAAACAGAGUCAGGACAAUAACUGAGAAGCCAUUCUCUAAAUCAGCUCACGAGGAAAACUUUGAUGCUGGUACAUUUACUUCGGUCACUACAUCAGGGGUAUUGAGUUCCAAAUUUCCAUUUAAAGUUGAAAUGCCAAGUCGAAGGCGAUGUAGCUUAACAAAAUCGGAUGUCGAUCAAACAGAUUACGUACAUAGAUUAUCACGGGAGUCCUCCGUGCCUGUAUCGCUACUCGGGAAAAGUGUUGACGAAGUUAAAUUUGAAAAUACAGCAUUGAAGAAUGCUCAAAAAGCUUUAAUUACUAACACGGAGGUUUCUCCUGAUCAAGUUGUUGGGAAGUUAUCAUAUAUGAGCUUAAAUAGGUGUAAGGGUGAUAAGACUUGGAUACAGGACUGGGCAGACAGCGUCAAAAAGUACAAUAAUAACUCAUUGGUUAAUGAAACAGACUUGAAUUCAACUUUUGCUAGUGAAGACCGUCCACCAAUCAGCCCGAGAUUAAUACCCACUAAACCCCGCAGCCCGCACGGCACGCCUACCAAGAUACCCAGCCCUGUGGGGACCCUGUUACACCGCAGGACACCAGACUUGAUACCGCCACAAGACACGGAAUCUUACUUACUAAAAACGCAAAACGCCAUCACCAACCUUCAAGCCAAGCUGCACUCCUCGCGGAAUCCCACCAUCACGACCAUGACGAAUAUCCCCAGCAUUCCAAACGCACUCACCACCAGUCUACUCAGCGAGAAGACCCUAGUCUCCAGGCUUCCGCUGUCUCAGCUCAGCCGAUCCAAUUCACUGAACUACCGCCUCAGAAGAAAAGACACUUCAGGCGAUAGCAGCCCGCUAAGAAGUCCAGGACAUUAUGUAAUAACAGGGUCGUCAAAAACACCAGAAACAACAAAAGUUCUAAUAAACACAGCGUCCAAAUCUCUGGACCAAGAAACGAGGGACGUCCGCCACGAUUCCAACAUGAACAGUCCUAGCUCAGACAGGGGUUUGCUUAGCAAUAGUUCCGAUGACAAAACCCUAUCGAACAGGCCACAAUAUGACGUAGAAGCUAUUCUGUCGCCGCACAGAAAAACGCACUCAAGGCACAGAUCCUUCGACAGAAACCCGAUAGAAAUCACAAGCGAUUUGAACUUGAACAACGCGCAACCUGUGUGCCUUAAGACAGUAUUGAAAAACAACGCGUUAGAGGUGAAAUCCUACAGAAUCGAUCCAACCCGUUACCAAGGAGACAUCAAGAAAAUUCACCAAAGGGUGUACAGUGACAGAGCGAGAACUUUCAACCCUCCAGCGUUUGGCUCAUCGAUCAAACGGUCCAGCUCCUUCAACACGGUCAACAGAAACAAUAACAUAGAUCCGAGGUUAGUUUCAAGGAGAUCGAGCGGUCAGUCUGAGGAGUAUAAGGAUUCGGAUGAAUCUGACAACGGGUCGUUCGACAAAUCUCAGGAUGUCAGAUUCAAAAGGCCGUUGCAUAGAGGGAGAGUUGAGGUGGUUCCGUCCAAUUCGCCGAGAUGUCCGAACACGCCGGAAAUGCAGAGGAAAUUCGGACCGGGGUUGGUUAGGAACUCCGUGAGAGUCACCACCAAGGAGCGCGGGCUGAACACGAGAAUGUCUGAGCCGCCUGUGGCCAGGGAGGACAGGAGUAAGCCAGCUAGUCAUCAGAGUAGAAGGAUAUCAGAACCCACGAGGCAGGCGGUUUUGAAUAGGCUCACCAAAUCGAGGUCUUCCACUAGGGAAGUCCAUCCGAAGAUUCAGGAUAAAGGCCAAAAGAAACCGAGCCAGCACAGAUCGUCCUCCGCCCUCGCGUCCAAAGAGCUGGAGUUCUCCAACUGGAAGAAGAGAUCCUCGUACGAUCCCAUGAAGGCGGCGCAGGAGGGCAGGAAGAGACAGCAGAUAGCACGGCGACCCGAGUGCAACAAGGACGACCUUAGUUCGCCGAGCCAUUCCUCACCAGUGCACAGAUCCCAGUCGUUCCACACCACCAACAUAGCGGACCUGACCCUGGACUACUCCUCCGAGGAGACGGAGGACGACCAGCUCAUGUCCACGCUGCCCGUCGACCCCAUGAUCACCUCCACGCACUCCGACAUCCUGGACUUGAGGAAGGAUCUACGGAGGCAGGUCAAUGAUGUCGUGCUGGCCAGAGACUAUGUCACCAACUUCCAUGUCAACCAUCCACCCGAAAAACUGAAACGCCCCACCAAUCGCAAACAGUACGAGGAGACUACGCCCACCAAAGAGGACUUCACCGACAAGCGCAAGACGUUCAUCCUCGACAGCGACACCAACUCCACCACCAACGGCAGCAGUCCGCGGAACUCGUCCAUCUUCAGCCACGAGAAGAACUCGCUGCACGCGAGCGACACUGAGGACAGCGGGCCCGAGAGCGCGCCCGUCGUGAUGCGGCACGGGAAGCGGGCGCCCCCGCCGCCCAAGCAGAGGUACAGCGGGGACUACUCGAUGUCGUCCUCCACGACGUCCAUAAGUAAAAAGCCCAAAGAGAUCCAGCCGCGGUACCUCGACAUAUCCAAGUACAAGUCUGAGAACUCGCCCAAGAACUUCCUGAGGCGGGACCCGAGCAAGACGUAUGUCGGUGUACUGGCCAAUUGUGAGAAGCGAGAAGUUAGCAAAGGAAGCGCUCAGCAUUAUGAAAUGGAACAAAAGAAGCAAGAAUUAGAGAAGUGGAAAAGAAGAGCAUCGUACGACCCGCGGAAGGCGGCCGCGCAGGGCAAGGCCAAGCCGGUGCCCAAGACUGCCAGAGCGUGACAGAUGUCAAAAUGCAUGCAUUUCUGGAUAUUGUGUGUCACGGGCAGCCAUCUUGUUAAGCAACGUCCUCCGCUCGCAGUCGUUCCACGGGCCGGUGCUGUCGCCCAACCCGCGGUACCAGCCGCCGACGCUCAUAACGGAGACAUACGACGCGUCAAGCGAUAACGACUUUUAAUACAAAGCUGAUAGAGGCGGUUUUACGACGCCCGAUGUGAUAGUGUGAGUCUUGUGUGCGUGCGUAUCGAUGGAACCAAAUAUUUAGAGUGUAGACGCGGCUUUAUGAUUUAAAAAAUAUAUACGUCAUUAUGACAGUGGCAUAUGUCAAAAUUUUUAUAAUGGCUCCAUUCUAGCGUCAGGUUCUGGGCUUUUCGUCGCGUAAAUCUUCGCUUUUUACAAGUAUAUUCCGUGGAUAUAAAGUCCUAUAAUAAUUACCUUAAGCUUUGCUUUAAAACCAAUCAUAUUGUAACCAUAGAUUUACGGUUAUGACCAAUGUGAGAGAAAAGACUACUUUACCUUAAAAAUAUAUAUUUUUGGCAUACUUGAAAUAUGCUUUCAAUGGAAUCGUGAAGGAAAAAGUACAUGUUACAUGGUACACAAUAUUAUUAUUAUGAUUUUAAAUAUUUUAAAUAUAUUGUUUGUUUUAAGCAUUUUUUUUUAUCAUGCUACGAAAUGGAGGCCAAAAAUAAUUUUUUGACAUAUGUCAGUGUUUGCCGCCAAAUAAUUCGAUGGAUUUGAUGUAUGAUUUUUUUUAUAGUUUUAAUUUUUUUUUUGCUUAUAAGUUAAUUUGGAAAGAUGCAAUUUUAUUAUUCCCAUGCGUAUAUUUUAUCGCACAAUGAUGUGUUUACGUCUACGAAGGUACAGUUUUUUUUUAAAUAUUUGUUACAUAUAUAUUAUUUUUGGUUAUGGAUGUAUUGAUUUUCAAAACAAGAUUUUUAUCGCGUCUUCAUAAUGGACUGACACUAUUUUUUUGUAUGUAAUUUAGUACUAAGGAAUCACUUAAGAGUUCUUUACACAUCCCGACAUUUAGAAUCUGACAUUGUUGACCCGAUUGUACCUAUUAGAUGAAUAAUUAAGUUCGCAGACCCCUUAUUCCCUAAGACCUCCAUUUACUUACUUUACUUAUUGUUUUACUUACUCGUUUAAAUCGGGAUUCGGGACGCUGUGUUACCGAUAUGAAACGGGAUAUGUUUAGAAUUACUAAGUUGCUCAUAUCAUUCAUACAUCGAUUUAUUUAGUGUUUACUCUAAGCUUUAGUUGUUAUAAAACAUAGUGCAAUUGACUCAUCACAUGAAAAAUCUAAAUCACUUUUACCUACCAGAUAAAGAAGUAUUACUUUAUGAACUUAAAUUCUACGCUUUAUUAUUCUAAAGAUAUAAAUAUUAAGUUAUUUAGCAACAUAUCGGUAUUAUUUUAUUCAAAUCACUUUUACACAAUUACAAUUCAACAACAUAAAACAAAACUCAACAGCCCUUCCAUAUGCUAUUAGACUUUCAUCCUUUUCACAAUACAUGUUGUGAAAAAGGAUUGACUUUAGUCUCUUAAAAUUAUUUUACUUCAUAAUAUGUGUACUACUAAACAAUUUAAAAUAUAAUAUAUUAAUUCUUCUAAAACUAUAGACUGGUAACCGUUCGUCCCGUAAAGCACAAAUUUUGUUCAAUGUAGCUAAAAAUUAAAUCGAAACUGUAUACUUAGAGCCACGAGAAAUCCCAAAUUUGUAGCAAAAAAAUCUAAAUACCAGGGACUUUAUGUAGUUGUAACUCUUUGAUGUAAUGUAAAUAAAUGUACUUGUAAUUGUUCCGCAAAAUCUGUCUGUCCAAUAAAUAUGUAUCAGUCCGUUUCUUGUCUGUCGCCUAAUUAGCAGUGACAAUGCAAUCGUAACUACAUCCAAAGUUCAAACCAUAAAACGAAAUCAAUUAUUUCUGUAAGCAUUUUACUUAUUUUUUAAUAUAUUUGUUGGUUAAUAUGUUUGAAUGAAAAUAAUAUACUAUUGCAAAAUUAUUUAAUUUUUUUUCAACUAGCCAAUGAUUGUCAAAUAAGUUGUAGUUACGAUUUCCAUGUCAUUUGUACAGUAUAGGGAAAUAUGAAUUUUACAAUAUAAAUGGUUUUAUAUUUUAUUUGAUGAUUGUAUUAUAAUCAAAUUAAUUAUUAUCUAUUAUUGAAAUUAUUUGUCAAUAUUACACACUAAUAGUUAUCUAUUUUUAUCCUAUUCUCGCGUGUAUUGAAAAAUGAUUUAGUUUAUGGCGAAUUUCUAUUUUUGUAUUUUGCAAAUAAUUAUAAAGUAAAUAUUAAUAAUGAUGAUUACAAUGAAAUACUCAUUUUCAUAAUCUAGUAUCAAAUUAUUGAAAUUGUAAAAUAAGUUGCUCGUUAUUUUAAAGUUUAUAGCUGUACCAUUCCGAUUUGUCGACAGGACAAAAUGAUUGUAUCAAAUUAAUUGUUAAUUAAUUAAUUAAUGGUUAGUUAAUUUUGUCUCGUACACCUAGUCUAGUUUAUGCUCCAUAAUAAUAGUUGUUAUUUUCGUAGUCCUUAAGCCGAUUCGAUCGGAGGUUGGAUCCGACAAAUCGGAGCGUGUAUGGCACAUUUAAUUUAAUUAUUCGAAUUCCACAAAACGGUCCAGUAUUUUUUUGUACAAAUUAUUUAAUCCCUAAGUAAUUUGUUACUUUUCCGCUUUUAGCUUCGGAGCUUUAACUAUUUUAUAUAGGGUGAAGUGGUUAUAAUAUACAAAAUGUAACCUCAAUUAAUGUUUACCUACUUCUUUAGUUUGAAUACAAUUAUAAUUUUCAGACUUAAAAUAAAAAACAAUAUUUUUCUUUCAGCCACCAUAAAAUUUCUGGAAUAACAAAUUAAUACAAUUAAAUACAAAAUAAGGUUAUAUAAAAAUUUAAAACUCUGUGAACCCAUUCCUAAAGAAAAUAGGUAUCCCCAAGAGAAAGAUCAAGAAACUACUCUAGACGUCAAUAAUAGAGACCAAAAGAACUUAACCACUUCACUCUUCUCAAAAUGAAAAAAAAAAAGAAAUUUGAAUUUAGAACGUCCCCAUAUCCAUAAAGACUUGUAUUCCUAAAAAUAUCGUAGUAGUUAUUUUCUUAAAUGUUGUAGAACCUAACAAUUGAUGAUAAAAUGUUAAUGUUGGUCGGGAUUUAUUCUAAACCUAUAUAAUUAUUAUAAAUAUAAGAGCGCAAUAUAUUAUCUUGUUUUAAACAAGCUUGAUGUUUUUGUGUGUAUUCCAGUUCUUCUGUCUAUUUUUUUUAUACGGCACGGGCAAAGAUUGGCAACCAUGCAGCCUGCUAGAGUCUAUGGCAAAAAUGCGAUUAAAUGGACCAUUUCCCUCGCACGCCCAAAUAGUGAGAAGUCAAGUCAACUCUACAAAUGCAAAGAUAAAACUAAAAUUUAAACUAUCGUGAGUUAUUCAUAUUAAUUGAUUAUGAAACACGGUUAAAACUCAUGUGAUACAGCGUUGAAGUAUGCCAGACUAUUUUCGAACCCAUAAGGGACCCUUAGUCAUGAGCUGGUUCAUGCAACGCGGCACGAUCCAGAGUGAACGCGUUACAAGAACCAAAUUCUGGCAUACUCCGACCUUGUAUCACGUGAGUUUAAGCCAUGUUUCAUAAUCAAUAAUACUAAAAGGCUCAAAAGGGCAUGAACUUAUAAAAAAAGGCAGCCGUAAAAGCCAAUUAGAAAAAGAUGGAAUCAUAUAUAAUUAUAUAGGUUUAGAAUAAGAUGGGCCCCACAAUGAAAAUGGUAGUUGUAAGCUGGGUUUGUAUGAGUUCAAUGAAUUGUAUUAUACUUUGCUGAAAGCUAGUGUUUGUAUUAUAGUUGAUGUUUAGCAUUUCAUAAAGCAAUUGUUUUGUCAGGCAAAUAAAACGAUAUACAUGUAAA